AAUUCCCUUGCAAGCAGACGGAGCCUUAGGGAGUAGCUAAAGCCGCGGUGCAGAAAGAGGCCGGCCCGAUGGGCGAGAUCGACCAGGAUUUGCUGCUCAAGAACUUAUUUGCUGAAGUUAGUGAAGUCGAAAGGGACAACGAGGUCCUCAGGAUCCUUUCAUGCUUCAAAUUAAAUGCAUUUGAGUUUCUUAAUCUGCCCUUUGAUUCAUCUUUGGAGGAUGUGAAAAAGCAAUACCGUAAGUUAUCUUUGCUUGUUCACCCUGAUAAAUGCAAGCAUCCGCAAGCAAAGGAGGCAUUUGGAGCAUUGGCCAAAGCCCAACAAAUAUUGCUUGACCCACAAGAAAGAGAAUAUCUUCUCAGCCAAGUUAAUGCAGCAAAAGAAGAACUUCUGGCUAAGAGGAAGAAGCAGUAGAAGAAAGACAAUGCAACAAAGAUAAAGUCACUGGUUGAAGAGGUAUCCAGCUGAAGAGAUUUCAUGAAGAUGGGAAAAAAGGGUAAGAAAGGGGAGAUUCGACCCCCAAAGCUGAAGACAGAAGACCCCAACAAAUCAUAUGUUCAAAGACCAGUGAAGCGAGCAUAAAAGGGACAUAGGUUUAUCUAUCAUCAUCAAUGAUGAACUGCAGCAAUGU